rnacentral:rRNA from 1 species
CGGGCGUUAAGUUGCAGGGUAUAGACCCGAAACCCGGUGAUCUAGCCAUGGGCAGGUUGAAGGUUGGGUAACACUAACUGGAGGACCGAACCGACUAAUGUUGAAAAAUUAGCGGAUGACCUGUGGCUGGGGGUGAAAGGCCAAUCAAACCGGGAGAUAGCUGGUUCUCCCCGAAAGCUAUUUAGGUAGCGCCUCGUGAACUCAUCUCCGGGGGUAGAGCACUGUUUCGGCUAGGGGGCCAUCCCGGCUUACCAACCCGAUGCAAACUGCGAAUACCGGAGAAUGUUAUCACGGGAGACACACGGCGGGUGCUAACGUCCGUCGUGAAGAGGGAAACAACCCAGACCGCCAGCUAAGGUCCCAAAGUCAUGGUUAAGUGGGAAACGAUGUGGGAAGGCCCAGACAGCCAGGAUGUUGGCUUAGAAGCAGCCAUCAUUUAAAGAAAGCGUAAUAGCUCACUGGUCGAGUCGGCCUGCGCGGAAGAUGUAACGGGGCUAAACCAUGCACCGAAGCUGCGGCAGCGACACUUUAGUGUUGUUGGGUAGGGGAGCGUUCUGUAAGCCGUUGAAGGUGUCCUGUGAGGGGUGCUGGAGGUAUCAGAAGUGCGAAUGCUGACAUAAGUAACGAUAAAGCGGGUGAAAAGCCCGCUCGCCGGAAGACCAAGGGUUCCUGUCCAACGUUAAUCGGGGCAGGGUGAGUCGACCCCUAAGGCGAGGCCGAAAGGCGUAGUCGAUGGGAAACGGGUUAAUAUUCCCGUACUUGGUGUUACUGCGAAGGGGGGACGGAGAAGGCUAUGUUGGCCGGGCGACGGUUGUCCCGGUUUAAGCGUGUAGGUGUGUGUUCCAGGUAAAUCCGGUUCACUUUAACACUGAGGCGUGAUGACGAGGCACCACGGUGCUGAAGCAACAAAUGCCCUGCUUCCAGGAAAAGCCUCUAAGCAUCAGGUAACAUCAAAUCGUACCCCAAACCGACACAGGUGGUCAGGUAGAGAAUACCAAGGCGCUUGAGAGAACUCGGGUGAAGGAACUAGGCAAAAUGGUGCCGUAACUUCGGGAGAAGGCACGCUGACACGUAGGUGAAGUGAUUUACUCACGGAGCUGAAGUCAGUCGAAGAUACCAGCUGGCUGCAACUGUUUAUUAAAAACACAGCACUGUGCAAACACGAAAGUGGACGUAUACGGUGUGACGCCUGCCCGGUGCCGGAAGGUUAAUUGAUGGGGUCAGCGCAAGCGAAGCUCCUGAUCGAAGCCCCGGUAAACGGCGGCCGUAACUAUAACGGUCCUAAGGUAGCGAAAUUCCUUGUCGGGUAAGUUCCGACCUGCACGAAUGGCGUAAUGAUGGCCAGGCUGUCUCCACCCGAGACUCAGUGAAAUUGAACUCGCUGUGAAGAUGCAGUGUACCCGCGGCAAGACGGAAAGACCCCGUGAACCUUUACUAUAGCUUGACACUGAACAUUGAGCCUUGAUGUGUAGGAUAGGUGGGAGGCUUUGAAGCGUGGACGCCAGUCUGCGUGGAGCCGACCUUGAAAUACCACCCUUUAAUGUUUGAUGUUCUAACGUGGACCCGUAAUCCGGGUUGCGGACAGUGUCUGGUGGGUAGUUUGACUGGGGCGGUCUCCUCCUAAAGAGUAACGGAGGAGCACGAAGGUUGGCUAAUCCUGGUCGGACAUCAGGAGGUUAGUGCAAUGGCAUAAGCCAGCUUGACUGCGAGCGUGACGGCGCGAGCAGGUGCGAAAGCAGGUCAUAGUGAUCCGGUGGUUCUGAAUGGAAGGGCCAUCGCUCAACGGAUAAAAGGUACUCCGGGGAUAACAGGCUGAUACCGCCCAAGAGUUCAUAUCGACGGCGGUGUUUGGCACCUCGAUGUCGGCUCAUCACAUCCUGGGGCUGAAGUAGGUCCCAAGGGUAUGGCUGUUCGCCAUUUAAAGUGGUACGCGAGCUGGGUUUAGAACGUCGUGAGACAGUUCGGUCCCUAUCUGCCGUGGG